GACGAACGCUGGCGGCGUGCUUAACACAUGCAAGUCGAACGGUGAAGGGAGCUUGCUCCCGGAUCAGUGGCGAACGGGUGAGUAACACGUUAGCAACCUCCCCUCGACUCUGGGAUAACAGUUGGAAACAGCUGCUAAUACCGGAUAUGACCCCAGAGGGCCUCCCCGGAGGUCGAACGCUCCGACGGUCAAGGAUGGGCUCGCGGCCUACCAGCUUGUGGGUGGGGUAACGGCCCACCAAGGCGACGACGGGUAGCCGGCCUGAGGGGGCGACCGGCCACACUGGGACUGAGAUACGGCCCAGACUCCUACGGGAGGCAGCAGUGGGGAAUAUUGCACAAUGGGCGAAAGCCUGAUGCAGCAACGCCGCGUGCGGGAUGACGGCCUUCGGGUUGUAAACCGCUUUCAGCAGGGACGAAGCUUUUGUGACGGUACCUGCAGAAGAAGCACCGGCUAACUACGUGCCAGCAGCCGCCGCCG
rnacentral:rRNA from 1 species